rnacentral:rRNA from 1 species
AGCGAACGCUGGCGGCAGGCCUAACACAUGCAAGUCGAACGAAGCCUUCGGGCUUAGUGGCGGACGGGUGAGUAACACGUGGGAACGUACCUUUUGGUUCGGAACAACUCAGGGAAACUUGAGCUAAUACCGGAUGAGCCCUUAGGGGGAGAGAUUUAUCGCCGAAAGAGCGGCCCGCGUUAGAUUAGCUAGUUGGUGAGGUAAAGGCUCACCAAGGCUACGAUCUAUAGCUGGUCUGAGAGGAUGAUCAGCCACACUGGGACUGAGACACGGCCCAGACUCCUACGGGAGGCAGCAGUGGGGAAUCUUGCGCAAUGGGCGAAAGCCUGACGCAGCCAUGCCGCGUGAAUGAUGAAGGUCUUAGGAUUGUAAAAUUCUUUUACCAGGGACGAUAAUGACGGUACCUGGAGAAAAAGCCCCGGCUAACUUCGUGCCAGCCGCCGCGGUAAGAC